AGUGAACGCUGGCGGUAGGCCUAACACAUGCAAGUCGAACGGCAGCACAGUAAGAGCUUGCUCUUACGGGUGGCGAGUGGCGGACGGGUGAGGAAUACAUCGGAAUCUACUUUUUCGUGGGGGAUAACGUAGGGAAACUUACGCUAAUACCGCAUACGACCUACGGGUGAAAGCAGGGGAUCUUCGGACCUUGCGCGAUUGAAUGAGCCGAUGUCGGAUUAGCUAGUUGGCGGGGUAAAGGCCCACCAAGGCGACGAUCCGUAGCUGGUCUGAGAGGAUGAUCAGCCACACUGGAACUGAGACACGGUCCAGACUCCUACGGGAGGCGGCAGUGGGGAAUAUUGGACAAUGGGCGCAAGCCCGAUCCAGCCAUACCGCGUGGGUGAAGAAGGCCUUCGGGUUGUAAAGCCCUUUUGUUGGGAAAGAAAAGCAGCAGGUUAAUACCCCGCUGUUCUGACGGUACCCAAAGAAUAAGCACCGGCUAACUUCGUG
rnacentral:rRNA from 1 species